rnacentral:lncRNA from 1 species
AUUGCGUUUGCUCUUUUGGCGAGGCAUAGACGUACUCGACAUCCCGCCAGAGGAGCAAGACCGCAUCCGCAGCUCCACCACCGGCCUCACACCGUCAGCUCUGGCUGCAACUUGCUGUACGUGUGGCACGAGGUGACCGGCCUGCUGGCAGACUACCAUCCUGAACACCCUGUGCCAGCAGGCCAGACUUGCUGUACGUGUGGCACGAGGUGACCGGCCUGCUGGCAGGCUACCUAUCCGUGAGCCAUCCUGAACACCCUGUGCCAGCAGGCCAGACGUACUCGACAUCCCGCCAGAGGAGCAAGACCGCAUCCGCAGCUCCACCACCGGCCUCACACCGUCAGCUCUGGCUGCA